AAUAAGUGAUGAAAAAAUGUUUCGGUCCCAGUUGAUGUCCACUGAUAACUGUUACAUUUUUCUGAUGUU
ensembl:snoRNA SNORD73 Small nucleolar RNA SNORD73